CUUCGCAUGCGCCCUUUACAGCACUGGCUGAAGACGCGGGUCCCGCGUCGAGCAUGGGCGUUUACUAGUGGUCACUUUCACUUCUCUCCAAAGGAAUGCUUUCGAACUGCAGUUUAGAAUGUUUCUCCAAGACUGGAACGACAGAAGGAAUUGCAGCAUACGAAUGAAUGUCAUUCAUAAGGGUUUUGGAACCACAUGCGGGUCUCAGGACAUCCAGCGACGUCACUCGAUUCGGAGAAGAAACUGUCAUUGUGAGAUCGAUUCAUUUACUUUCGGCAAAUCCGAUGAAGAUUUCCAGACAGCAGUGACAUCAGCUUCAGACCACGUUGACGCAGCUGUCGGGGACGGUACCGAUUGGCUGACUUUGUGCCCUGACCACUCGGAGCGACCAAUCCAAAUCCAGCCUAGGUUCACGACCCCUAUACAUUUCUCCUGAGGCUUCGAUGUGGAUCUGUUCCAUGAAACCAUUUUACGGGCUAGCCUGCCAUCUUGUGCUCAUUAUUGCCAAACGCUUUGGUGAUGGAUGUUGCCCCGGAGCAGCUCGUACGAGACGUGGUGUUUUACUGCACUGAAGAUGAUUGUAUUUUACAGCGCGAGACAGAGUGAACAUAAAGAGAGUGUGUGUGCGUUGUUGUUUUUUUUCAAUUAGAUAUAGUACGAUACUAUCUGUAUGAUUCGAGUGUUGUUGUGUUUCACAUGAAGCGUAGUUCUGAUUCAGAUAUUUUUUAUGCGUCUUUGAUGAUCUUUCAUUGGUUCUGCACUGUGCAGCCUGCAAAUAAACCAUUAAAUCUGAUGUGAAAUCAAAGCAAACCUGUAUACACAGUAUAUAAACCGUAUUAGAUAAACUGCGUCACAUUUUCUCCCAACCAUAUGUUCAUGUCUUUUGUUCUAUCAGUGCCUCAAACCAUGAAACCAAACAGUUAUGAUUAACAGACUCUCUCCAAAAAGUCCCUUUGGAUCCGAGUAGGCAAAGAGAAACAGUCCUGCUCCUUUCUGCUUGUGUUUUGAGACAUCAGAUACGGAACAUCAACUUUCACCAUCUGGUAUGUAGUGUGUUUGACAGCCACACCAGAAAUCUGUUUCACAAGGAUGCGAACGAACUGAUGAGAUUGAGCAUUGAGCAUCAGCAGGUGGUCUCUUAAUGUUACGUUUCAGACAAACACAUG